rnacentral:lncRNA from 1 species
CCAAAAAUAAUGAGGCUCAACUUGCAUUAUUAUGAAGCCUGGCUUGACGCGAGGUCCCUAUAACCUGAACGAGGUUGCAAGAUUUCAACAUUGCUGAUUUUAAAACGACUGAAACUAAACCACAAAGCAAGGCCCGAUUCUGAAAAUGGCCCAAUGUGGUAUAACUAUGACUCAAGGUCGAAUCCCUUCACCAUAAAGCGAGGCCCGAUUCUGAAAAUGGCCCAAUGUGGUAUAACUAUAACUCAAGGUAGAUUCCCUUUUAGAACACAAAACCCACGUUGGGAUUCGAGAAUACAAACUGAUCCAUAUCAGUUUUCAACCAUUUAAGCAAUAAUAUAGAAGAUGAAAAAUAACUAAACCACAGCGCCCUUUUGACAAAAACAUUUCCCAAAUUCGAUUAUUCUGGUGAUAUCAAUUGCAUAAUAGGACAUCUCAUAAAAAACUCACACCAAGUUACUUAUAAAACCUGAGAGCUUGAGCCUCAAUCACGACUCAUGAAUCCUAUAGAGAAGCUAACAUUAUGCAACAUAAUUUAAAACACCUAAUUUUAACUGAUAGUAAUUUAACCGGAAUACAAGAUGAGAAGAAUUCACAGUCAGUCCAUAUGAUACCAUUUAGCAUGGUCAAAUAUACAGAGUUAGCUAUUAAUUCGACUAACAAGCCAUUUCAACUUCUAAUCAGCUAUGAAAUAUUCAGUCGGAAGUUGAGUCCCCCUUAAUUACAAAAAUUCAAUUCUCAACAGAGUAUUUAUCAACAAAAUAUAGUAUGAUAUAGAACUCAUAACAAAUCAGCAAAACAAUGUAAAACUAAACUGCAUAUCGAAACAAGUAAUGACUGUGCUCAAGCUUCAGAGUCUUAUUUCAACUACAAGUCAGGUCUUACAUUGUGUAGAAGUCAAGAGAGGUGUACCUGGAAAGUGAAAAUAAUAGAAAAUGAAGGGAUCAGUAGCGAGCAACAGCAGACAGUAUAAAUUUCAGCCACCCAGCUUUUGAAUAAUGAAAUCCAACCAAAACACUUGAUAAAACAAUGCCCCAAUUAAUGAAACCAAAUCAGUUCUACCCAUACCUUAGGUCAAAUCAUUUUCUCAGCUAAAAAGAAAUCAGGAAUUGCAUAUGGAAUCAAAGAGCAGAGGUUCAAUGUACCAGUGUUUGUAACCUAAUUUCUUUUUUAGUCGUAUGAGUUUUUAUGAGCUUUUUAUUACUGAAAAAUCCCUGCCUUCCAAGGCAAGAAAGGUGCCUUUAUAUAAAGUGCAAGUAGGGCAACCCUUAUGUUUUAAAAUUGCAAUUGAGUCCCACAUUUUUCGACUUGUGGACCAAGUUUUUACAUCAAAAUUAAUAGGAAGCCCCUACGUUCCUAUUUCAAUUUCCCUUAAUCAAAUACCCAAACUACCCAUAAUUCCAAACGGAUCAAAUAUGGCAUUUCUUAAAACCAUGCAGAAAAUCAAAACUGUAAGAUUACCUAAUGGCUAAUUAACAAACCUAACAAUAAAUUACUGGACCAAAUUUAAACCCAAGAAUUACACAUAGAAGUCCUUCAACAGAAGAGAUCAAUACAAUCUGAACUGAUUGAAUGAAUAAAAUUCAAUUAACACAAAUUUAUUAUUCAACUCACGUAUUAUCCGAAAAAGACUAACACAACUUAACUAUUAUGCACGAAACCUAAUUCAAACUCCGGAACAUAAUCAUGAAAUCCAACUCAAAAAAAGACCUACUACAACUCAACUAAACUCGGGAAUUAAAAGAAAUGGAAUUCAAGCAAGACUCAAUAACUUGACUGAAAUCAUGAAGACUAAACAUAAUUCAACUCAUGACAUUCAAAACAAUCAGACUAAAACGACUAAUGCAAUUUUAUUAGAUAAAACUAAACUUAAUAUGACCCUGUAAAUAACCAAAUCGAUAGAAACUGGAUGACAAAAAGAGAGAUUAUAAAAAAAAAUAGAAAACUAAGCUUAUCAAAUGCAUGCAGCAGGAUCUGAGUCUCUAACCCUAGAAUUCGACCAGCUUUGGGCAUCUUGAGAACAAAUAACCACAAACCAGUGGUGAGUGGUGGUAAGGGUUAUAGGAUGUGGGUUUUGGACGAUUUUAGGGGUGGCGAGGUUUGGCAGCCCCUUUUGAAUUAACAUUCGAGAAGAUCUAGGGUUUUUGAAGGGUGUUGAUGGUGGAUUUGGCAUGAGCGAGAGGAGAGAGUUCAACAAUGUAAUUUUGAUUCGAUGGAAACAAGGCAUGGAUUUGGAUAGAGGAGGAGAAGGCGGUCAAGUGGUGUAAAUUUGGUGGCCUUUGGGUGAUCACCGCCGGCGAAGGCGAUUUUUGACCGGCGGUUUGCGGUGGAGAGACGGCGGCUUUAGGAUUUCUGAUGAGAGAAGGUUUAGGGGGUGUUUUGGGGGUGUUUUGGGGGGUGAGGGGUCAUUUUGGACAUAUAUAUACUAACACAUCCUAGCUUCUCGACCGUUAGAUUAAGAAAUAUAGACUGCCAGGAUCAAAUGCAACCUAAACGAUGUCGUUUUGGUUGGGGCGGGGACUGGACCGGGUUGGAUGGGUUUUGGACCGGGUCUGGGUGGGUUCUUUGGGCUAGGGUUUAAUCUAAAAUGGCCCAAUUUGGGUCUUCUCUUUUUAAUUAAAUUUUCAUAUUUCUUUUUCACUUGUUUUUUUUCAUUUUUCUUUUCAUUUUCAAAAAUUAUUAAAAACCUAAGUUAAGUUAUAAAUCCGAAACAAAUCUAUAUAAAUGUUAAACAAUCUUGUAUAACCAUUAUUAAAACAAAACUAAAAGAACAAUUACCUAAAAAUUCAAACAUUAAAACUAAAAGAGCAAAUUGAACUUCUUUUUUUGUUCAUAAAAUGACCAAUUACUAACUAAUGCUUGAAAAAUGUCACAUCUACUUUUUAAUGCAAAUGUGACAUAUAUUUUAUAAUUUUUACUAAUUAAAAUGUGCAGACAGAUGCAAACAACUAACGGAAAAUGCAACAAAAAUCCAUAAAAUUGCAAACAAGUAAAAGAAAUGGUUUUGUUUGAAUAUAUAGGAGUAAUUCAUGUAGGGCAAAAAUCACAUGCUCACUGCUUCCCCUCUUUGCCCUGAAACACGAAUAGUUUUCCUGCAAGGAUAAGUGAGCGGACAUGAGUGAUUUUUGCCCACUUGAAUACUCUGUGAGAAGCAUUUUUUGAAAAGUAUUACCGCACCCUGCUUCAGAGGUUGCCGUCAUAUCCUCUGCUAAAAAUGAAUCAGGUCAGUGUAGUUCAGGAGUGUUUGGUAGGUGGGACUACUAAAGUUGUGAUCUCACUGUUGUUGUUUAUGCUGCUAGUGCUGCUAGGCCCACUUAUUGCACCAUGCAAAAAUAAAAAGUAGAUAGAGUAAGUUAUGAUCUAUGAAUUACAAAAGAACCUAUCUAUGUCUUCAAGCUUGUUCUUGAUCCUUGUUGCCUCGUUGCUUGUAAAUCUCCUUGUUGCCACGUUGGUGCUUGAUUGUUAGACAUGAACUGUAUUCCCUUGUUUUCCACAUGGGCGCCUUAUUGCAAAAUCUGAAACUUGAAAUGUAUUCCCUUGUUCUCCAGGUGGGCGUCUGGCUAUCGAAACUUGAAACUUGAAAUGCAUUCCCUUGUUAUCCAGGUGGGCUCCUGAUUACCAAAACUUAAAAUUUGAAAUGUAUUCCCUUAUUAUCCAAGUAGGCGCCUGAUUACUAAAACUUGAAAUGUAUUCCUUUGUUCUCCAGGUGGGCACCUGAUUACCAGAACUUGAAACUUAAAGUGUAUUCCCUUGUUCUCCAGGUGGGCGCCUGAUUACCAAAACUCGAAACUUCAAAUGUAUUCCCUUGUUCUCCAGGUGGGCGUCUGAUUACCAAAACUCGAAACUUCCAGUAUUUCCUUAUUGUUAAGGUGGGCGCCUGAUUACCAAAACUUGAAAUGUAUUCCUUGUUCUCCAGGUGGGCACCUGAUUACCAAAAUUUGAAACUUGAAAUGUAUUCCCUUGUUCUCCAGGUGGGUGCCUGAUUACCAAAACUUGAAACUUGAAAUGUAUUCCCUUGUUCUCCAGGUGGACGCCUGUUCUCCAGGUGGACACCUGAUUACCAAAACUUGAAACUUGAAAUGUAUUCCCUUGUUCUCCAGAUGGGCGCCUGAUUACCAAAACUAAAAACUUGAAAUGUAUUCCCUUGUUCUCUAGGUGGGCGCCUGAUUACCAAAACUUGAAACUUGNNNNNNNNNNNNNNNNNNNNNNNNNNNNNNNNNNNNNNNNNNNNNNNGGCCCCUGAUUACCAAAACUUGAACCUUGAAAUGUAUUCCCUUGUUCUCCUGGUAGGUGCCUGAUUACCAAAACUUUAAACAUGAAAUGUAUUCCCUUGUUCUCCAGGGGGCUCCUGAUUACCAAAACUUGAAACUUGAAAUGAAUUCCCUUGUUCUCCGGGUGGGCUCCUGAUUACCAAAACUUGAAACUUGAAAUGUAUUCCCUUGUUCUCCGGGUGGGCGCCUGAUUACCAAAACUAGAAACUUGAAAUGUAUUCCCUUGUUUUCCAGGUGGGCGCCUGAUUACCAAAACUUGAAACUUGAAAUGUAUUCCCUUGUUUUCCAAGUGGGCGCCUGAUUACCAACACUUGAAAUUUGAAAAUGUAUUCCUCGAGACUGCUGCCUUUGUACCUGAUCACAAUGAAACAAACAAAAUAAAAGAAAUUCUUUCUGCCUCAGUUUGGUUCUGGGUGCAUCUGUGAUUGUUAAUCAAAUCCUGUUACCAAAUAUCUCUAAAAUUUGAAAGCUAAAUCCCAUUAUCCAUAAGGGUCUUGAAAACUCUUAACUAAUGACAACAUUAAAUUUAGGUUAUGUUCUCCAAAGGCAUUACUUCCACUAUGUCUUGUUAUCUAAGUUAUGUCUGCUAGGGACCUGUAAUCAAAGCUACAUCCCAUUAUCCAGGAAGGUUUUGACAAUUCUUAACCAUCAACAACUCUAAAACUAAGAUACGCCUCUAGAAGUAUUACUUCCCCUGUGUCCUGUUAUCUAAGAGAAUAUUAAAGUUGCGUCUCAUUAUCCAAGAGGGUCCUAACAACUCUUAAUUAAGAGAAAUUUUAAAUCCACAUCAUGUCUGCUGGGGAUUAGUUAUUAGAUCUACGUCCUAUUAUCUAUGAGGGUCCUUAAAGCUUCCACAAUUAAAUCCCAUUAUCCAUGCGGGUCCUGACGACUCUUGAUGGGGUAAAAUUUGCGCCCGGCCAUGCUACUCGUGAUUGUUUGUAUUUUAAACUGAAUCCCAUUUCCCAAGAGGGUCCUAGCAACUCUUAACUGAAUCCUAUUUCAAUAUGCAAGUCACUUUAUGUUCUUUGCUAAUUAUGAUUACCUCCAUCCUUUAAAUAAGUCUCAUUUUCCAAGAGGGUCUUAAAAAUUUCAAAUUUAGUGCCCCUUUUAACUCUCGAUUGUCUUUGCUGGGGAUUGCCAGUUAAAGUCACGUCCCAUUAUUUAGAAGGGUCCUGACAAUUCUUAUUGGGGAAUUAUUUAUGCCAGGUUAUGUUCCUGUUGAACUUUAAACUGAGUCCCAUUUUCCAGGAGGGUCCUGAGGUUCACAGUCAUACCUGCUAGGUGCUUGCUUUUUUAUGAAUGAUUUUCCCGAAACCUCCAGAAUUUUCUGGCCAUGUUUCAUUCAAAGAAAAUCUUGUUAGUUUGAAAAGUGUUGGUUAGCUUGCGGCGUUCUUACUGAAAAUGGCCCCCACUGUCAUGUUCUAUUGUGUCUGAUUUCCCGCACUACUGAUGAGCCGCCUGAUCUGCUCGGCUGACCCCUAAACCCUAUGGCUUUACCCUAUUCCCCCAUCAUUGUGUUACAUUCCUGACCCUCUUGCCAAAACCACUAUAUCUUUCCCGACAUUACCGAGUCGUUUUACUGAAGAAACCUUCAUUGAUUCUUUCCUUUGCCAUUGUUACUUUUGCUGCCUUUGUUUAGUUUUGGCCGACAUGUACUUUGCCAUUUAGGAGUUAGUAGUAAGCUUUGAAAUUUCUCUCCAGCUUGCUUAAACAUAAUGACUUUGGAGACAUCUUAGAAGAAAAAUGAAAACCUGAAAGAAAAAUAAAAUGCAAUGACUCUGAACUGUUUUAGAAUAAAAGAAUUCUUAAUUUGGCAACUAUUGAGAGGGAAAAUAAGAGAAACUUAUCUGUGGAGGAAUAGCUGGUUCCCAUGAUCAUGACAUGCACUUUGUCUUAGUCAACCUAGUCUGUCCAAAUGGUUGGCCUUCGGCUGUCAUGCUUUGUUGUUGCGACCUUUUUUAACCCAUUUCCUUAACCAAGCCUUGACCUUGAUUAUCUUGUGGUGAUAUGCACAUAUUUCCACCAACAACCCUUUUUCGUUGUUCAUUUCUAACCUUUCCUUCGCCAUAUGGUGCCCGUGAGGGUUUUCAACGAUAAGACUCUCUCAUUUUGAUCUUUUCUUGCUUGAACUAGAGUGUCGCCCCGGGGUAUAAAUCACCUCUUCUUGCUUGACACGGCAUUUCUUAAAGACUGAUCAGAAGGUCUUUCUUUGGACUGUAAUGUAGGCUUUUGGAUAGAGUUAAAAUAAAGGGUAUUAAAAGCUCAAUAUAAUUCAAACAGAUUUAAAAUUACAACUUUUGGAAUCAAAUUUUCUUAAAACAACCAUAACUUCUGCCCCAGUUUCUUGCUUGGGGACUUUUGGAUUUUUAUUCUAAUACUACCGGGUCGUGAGGCUCCCUACGUAUCUUUUAAAAGAAUUAGGUCAAACGUAGUUCAUCCAGAUUCCUUGUUUUUGUGAUCUUCUCUUUUCUUCUUUUCCUUAUUCUAUUUCUUUCUUUUUCUUUUAUUGUUUUGUUGUUUUGUUGUUGUUGUUUUUUCUCUUUUUUCUUCUUCUUUUCUGCCUCUUCUCUUUUUCCUUUUCUUUUCUUUGUUGUUUUUUUCUUUUCUUUCUUUUUAUUCUUCUUUCUUCUCUUUUCUUCUUUCUUUCUUUUCCAUUCUUUCCAUUUCUUUUCCUUUCACUGACUUCUCCCACUUGCGUUUCUAACUUUUGGUACUGAUUCCGAAAGAGGGGUGUGAAAGGAAAUAAUUAAAGCUCAAAAGAGUUAGCAAGGGAUAAAGUGUUUAGAUAGACAAAUAAAAUUCUUUCAUCAAUUCAAUUUCUAAAAUAUGCAAGUACAAACAAACAUGCCAAGUGUAGACAAUGACUUAACCAAAUAAAAUCAUACAUAGUAUCUCUUAACUGCAUCAGAAUUGAUGGUUGUUUCUACACACUUUCCUUCCAUAUCAGUUAGAUACAAUGUCAUUGGACAACACUCUUGAUAGGACGAACGACCUUUGCCAAUUUGGGGCGAACUGUCCCUUUGCCUCUGUCUAGUGAGGGAGGAUGCGUUUCAAUACUAGCUGACCCACUUCAAACCCUCUGGAGUGCACUUUCUUGCUAUAUGCUCUGGCCAUUCUCUGUUGAUACAAUUGGCUAUGACACACUACUGCUAAUCUUUUCUUAUCAAUUAAGCUCAAUUUCUCUAGAUGAGUUUUGACCCAUUCUUCAUCAUCAAUUCCUGCCACGGUGACGAUUCGAAGGGAUGGGAUUUCAAUUUCAGUAGUAUCACUACUUAUGUGCCGUAUACCAACAAAUACGGAGUUACCCCUAUUGAGGUGCGGACAAUAGUGCCAUAGCCUAACAUUGCGAAGGGUAGCUUCUCAUGCCAUUGCCUAGACCCUUCCACCAUUUUUUGAAGUAUCUUCUUUAUAUUCUUAUUGGCUACCUCAACUGCUCCAUUUGCCUUUGGGCGGUAUGGGGUGGAAUUGCGAUGUGUAAUCUUAAACUGCUGACAUACCUCUUUCAUCAAAUGAAUAUCGAUAUUUUCUCCAUUAUCAGCGAUGAGUGUUUUCAGGAUUUCGAACCGGAAAAUGAUAUUUGAAUGCAUGAAAUCAACCACGGCUUUCUUGGUCACUGCCUUGAAGGUUUUAGCUUCGACCCACUUGGUGAAAUAAUCAAUAGCGACUAGGAUGAACCUAUGUCCAUUGGAAGCUGCUAGCUCAAUGGGCCCGAUGACAUCCAUGCCCCAAGAAACGAACAGCCAUGGUGCAGACAUUGUAUGUAAUUCAGACGGAGGGAAGUGAAUCAAGUUUCCAUACACCUGGCAUUGAUUACAUUUGUGCAAGAAACUGAUACAAUCUCGCUCCAUGGUGAGCCAAUAAAAUCCGAUGAACUUGUGUCCAUUGGAAGAUGCUGGCUCAAUGGGUCUGAUGACAUCCAUGCCCCAAGCAACGAAGGGCUAGGGUGCAGACAUUGUAUACAAUUCAGAUGGCGGGGAGUGAAUCAAGUCUUUAUGCACUUGACAAUGAUGACAUUUGCGCACAAAACUAAUACAGUCACGCUCCAAGGUGAGCCAAUAAUACCCUACCCGGAGAAUCUUUUUUGCCAAAACAUAUCCACUCAUGUGCGGUCCGCAAACUCCAGAAUGUAUCUCAGUCAUAAUGGUUGUAGCCUGCACAGCAUCUAUGCACUCUAACAACCCAAGAUCCAGCGUCUUUUUUUAUAGCAACCCUCAAUUGAAGAAAAACCCCCUGGAUAAAUGACGGAUUGUUCUCUUUUGGUACUUGUGGUCUGUACUGUGUACACGCCCAUUUUGAUAUAUUCUUUGAUGUCGCGAAACCAAGAAUCACCGUCAAGCUCUUCUUCUACCAUGUUACACUAAGCAUGCUGAUCAUGGACGCGGAUAUGUAACGGGUUAACAUAAGCCUUAUCUAUAUGUUGUAACAUUGACGCCAAAGUAGCUAAGGCGUCAGCAACCUCGUUGUGAAUUCUCUGAAUAUGACUAAACUCUACUGACCAGAAUCAUUGGCAAAGAUCAUGCAAGCAUUGCCGGCAUGGUAUGAGAUUUAGAUCUCUUGUUUCCUAUUCCCCUUGAAUUUGGUGUGCCAGAAGGUCCGAGUCCCCCAAGACCAAGACUUCCUGGACACCCAUGUUUGCAGCUAAUCCUAAAACCAAAAUACAUGCCUCAUAUUCUGCCAUAUUAUUUGUGCAAUAGAAGCGAAGUCGAGCUGUAACGGGGUAAUGGUGCCCCAUCAAAAAAUAAUUUCCAUCCCAGCUUCUUGCCCUAUUUUAUUUCAUCAAUAUGCAUUACCUCAUCGUCUGGAGGUAUAUCUUUAAAGGUUCAUAUUCUUCGUCUACCGGAUUCUCGGCCAAAUGAUCAGCCAAUGCCUGGGCUUUCAUUGCAGUCCUAGUCACGUAGACAAUGUCGAACUCGGUGAGCAAGACUUUCCAUUUUGCAAGCCUCCCAAUGGGCAUGGGCUUUUGGAAAAUGUAUUUCAACGGGUCCAAGCAUGAGAUGAGGUAAGUGGUAUACAAUGACAGGUAGUGUUUCAACUUCUGGGCUUACCCAAGUUAGGCCGUAGCGUGUCCAUUCAAGAUGAGUAUACUUCACCUCAUAAGCUAUAAAUUUCUUGCUGAGGUAGUAUAUGGCCUGCUCUUUCCUCCUCGUGACAUCAUGCUGACCCAGCGCACAUCCAAAUGAAUUGUCCAAGACUGUCAGAAAUAGGAUAAAGGGCCUCCCUAGUUCCGGUAGGACCAAUACCGGUGGGUUCGACAAGUAUUCUUUUAUUUUAUCAAAAGUCUACUGGCAUUCUUCUGUCCAUUUGACCGCGACAUCUUUUUUCAAUAGCUUAAAGAUGGGCUCACAAGUUGUUGUGAGCUCAGCAAUGAAUCGACUGAUGUAGUUCAACCUUCCCAAAGACUCAUCACCUCUAUUUUGUUCCUCAGAGGCGGUAAUUCUUGUAUGGCUUUGAUCUUUGAUGGAUCUAGCUCAAUGCACUGGCGGCGGACUAUGAACCCUGGAAACUCCCCUGAAGGGUCCCCAAAUGCACAUUUUGCAGGAUUAAGUUUGAGAUUAUACAUGCGGAGCCUCUUGAAGAAUUUCCUCAGAUCUCUGACAUGGUCGGAUUGCUUCCUGGAUUUCACAGUUACAUCAUCCACAUAGACCUCAAUCUCUUUAUGUAUCAUAUCGUGGAAGAUGGUUGUCAUUGCCCUAAUAUAGGUUGCCCCAGCAUUCUUCAGGCCGAAAGGCAUGACCCUGUAGAAAUAUGUUCCACAUGGCGUAAAAGUCUACAAAGGACCCAAUCUCAUGCUUUGCACAAUUUUCAAUCAAUAUGUGGAUGUUCGGCAAUGGGAAGUUAUCCUUUGGAAUUGCUUUAUUGAGGUCAUGAUAGCCGACACACACCCUGGUUUUACCAUCCUUCUUUGGUACAGGCACGACAUUGGCUAACUAUGUGGGAUAUCGUGUUACUCGGAUGAAAUUGGCAUCGAACUGAUUGGUAAUUUCCUCUUUGAUUUUCAUGCUCACAUCAGUUUUCAACUUCCUCAACUUUUGAUUAAUAGGAGGACAGGCCGGGUCGGUGGGAGAUUUGUGAACCACCAAGUCAGUGCUCAAUCCUGUCAUAUCAUCAUAAGACCAUGCAAAAACAUCUUCGUAGUCAAGCAGCACUUCAAUUAUUUCUUUCCUAAGUUGUGGCUCAAGAUGGACACUUAAAUUGGUUUCUCUAAUGUUAUCUGGUCCCCUUGACUGCUUCUGUAUCGCUCAGGUUAGCUUGGGGUUUUCCUCAAAAUGGCUCAACUCUUUACUAAUUUCCUCCAGCGUCUUUUCCUCAUCAUAUUCCAAUUCAUCUUCAUAUUCUAUUUCUUGAAUUAUUACUUCUGAACUACACCCAUUUUUAAGACUGAGCCAAGACGUCCUUAUGAAUGUCACAUCAUUGGAUCCAGCAUAAAAAUAUUAGUACAAGAAAGAAAAGAAAAGCAAAGAAAAAGAAAACUAUUAGCCCUUAAAGAAAGAGAAAUUGCAUUUCAUUGAAACUGAAAGAUAACAAGGUUUUACACAUCCAAAUGGAUGGAACAUAGACUCUGAAUUACACCCUGGAAUAAUCCAGAGAAAUUUAAAAGAAAAAUCAAAGCAAACUACCAAAACGUUUUCUUGGUCGGGAGAGGAGUAGCUUCCCAAUUGUUGACUUUUGCACAGGGCCCAACAAAUUGCAUGUCUGCCUUGCUAGAACCCUCUUCGGCUUCCACCAUAUUCACAUCUUCAAACAACCAUUCAAACCUUUUGCGUAAUUCCUUAUCAGGAUCAACUGCAGCAUUGACACUUGUUGUUGUCAGGCACUUAUUGGCGCCAGGCUUCAUAAAUGAUUUGAAAAGACGAGGCACAGGCUUGGGGAGGGCCCAUGCUUUUUUUCUCAUCUUUCUGGCUGUCUUGAUGUCUGCACUUGUAGGCUUGAAUCCCAUACCAAAAGUUUCUACGUUCGUGGGGAGAGACACCGGCUAUAUGAUACCCCUAAGUGAGGUCCCCAAACCCUUUCUGGGAAAAAACCCUAUUCUUUAGUAUCUCAACUGCCACCAAUACUGCUGCAGUAGCUAAUCUUGAUGUUGGAACACACUCCCCUUCUGGGACUUUCUCAACUGAUACCGAGUCAUGAACCUGAUACCCCAAGGGCCCUUGUCGUCUUCAACUUCGAUAAAAGGUACAAUGGCAUCACCCAUGGCACACUGAUUAUACUCACCAUGCACCACAAUUUCCUGUUUGUCCCAUUCAAAUUUAACCAUCUGGUGCAAGGUAGACGGCGCUGCCUUAGCAGCAUCAAUCUAGGGUCUCCCUAGAAAACGAUUAUAAGAAACUACCACAUCCAGCACUUGAAAUUCCAUGGUGAACUCAACGGGACCCAUCGUCAGUUCUAGUAUUAUAUCCCCCACUGAGUUUUUGCCUCUACCAUCGAACCCCAGAAUGUAAUUGUUGUGCUUCUGGAUCCUUUCAUCAUCCACCUUCAGCUUGUUCAAUAUGGAAAGAGGGCAAAUGUUCGCAUUGGACCCAUUGUCAACUAGAACUCGGAUGACCACAACAUCAUCACACUUUACGGUCAAAUAAAGGCCCUGUUAUGCUCAGUGCCCUCCAUGGGCAACUCAUCGUCAGAGAAAGUAACCCGGUUCACCUCAAAUAUUUUGUUUGCAAUCUUCUCCAAGUGAUUUACUAAUAUCUUGUCAGGAACAUGGGCCUCAUUCACGAUCUUCAUUAGUUCCCAACGGUGCUGGUCCGAAUUAAUCAGCAAUGAUAACACAGAGAUUUGAGCAGAUGUCUUCCUCAAUUGUUCCACAAUAUAAUAAUCUUGCAUUUUCAUCUUCUUUUGAAAUUUUCUGCCUCUUCUUCACUCACAGUUUUCUUUACCGGUGCUAAAUUAUCCUUGGUUGGUUUUGAUUUUCUCAAUUCCUCUGGGGCAAAGCACCUCCCUGAUCGGGUCAAUCAUGAGUCUCACAAGCUUCUUUCUCUAAGAUUUUUCCCUUUGUAAAUCAAUGUUACUCGAUCAUAAUUCCAAGGUAUUGCCUUGUUGCUAAUCAUUGGUAGCUGAACCACAAGUUUGAUAAUGACAGGCUCUGAAUUAGCGCCUUCCACGACAAUCACAAGCUUACUGGCCCUCCCUGGUACAACCACUCUUGCAUUCUCUUAUUUUACCAUCCCAUCUUUCGAGGAUUCCUUCUUGGCUACAACAACAGGUUCACCACUUAGGGCGUUCAACUUAAGUGUCGACAUCUCGCUUGUCAAAUUCUCACCCAUCUUUCGUUCACUGGCUCGGAUCAUCAUGAUAGUUUGCGAAGGCUUUUUGGGCUUCCUUUCUCUAUGCACUAUCUCGAUCAUGUUUGUAUCUUGAUGAGCAGGCAAAGAGUUUUGAUUAAUAUUGGGUGCUUCUGGAUCUUGCACCUAAAUCUGAUGAAAAUCAAUGAUUUCUUGAAUAUCACACUUUAGAUGCCAACAUGCCUCUGUGUCAUGUCCCGGGGCACCAGAACAAUACUCACAACUAACAGAAUAAUCCAAAUUUCUUGGGGGAGGGUUUGGAAAUUUUGCUUCAAUCGGCCUCAAUAUAUCUAACUACCUCAACCUGUGGAAUAAGCUAGUAUAUGAUUCUCCUAAUAGAGUGAAAGUUUUCUUCUUCUGCAUCCUCUCAGUUUUUAAAGUUUGGUUGGGCCGAGAAAGCUGGUCUCAAGGGUUGUAUAGGCUCUUGGAGGGUAGUUAUUUUGGGGAGCAGGAUAAUUAUUUUGUAGAGUUGGCGCACGCCAUUGUGCGUGGGUAGGAGGUUAGGUAUAUGUUUGUGCAUGAUGGACUGAGAAACGAGGGUCAGGGGGUGGGUAGUAAUGUUGUGGUGGGCUAUGUGGAGUGUGUAAGUAGAUUAGGUAGUGAGGUCAGGGUUGGUAUAAUGGGAUGGACCCCGGGGCCCGAACCAAGUUCCUGAAUCAACUGUGGCUACCUCUUCUUUCUUCUUCUUUCUAAUUGCUCCUCCGGUCCCGCAUUGGAUAGCCUGGGUGGUUGCUUUGAUUGUAGAGUAAAUCAUGAUCUUGUCGGAUUUGAGUCCCUCUUCGACCAUACUCCCCAUUUUCACUACCUCAUUGAAGGAUUUACCCGCUGCUGAUACCAGGUGACCAAAAUAUAUAGGCUCCAAAGCUUGCAAGAAAUAAUCUGUAAUUUCACUUUCCUUUAUUAGCGGGUCGACCCUCGCUUCCUGCUCCCUCCAACGGAAACCAUAUUCUCUGAAGCUCUCAUUAUGCUUCUUUUCCAGAUUCACCAAAGACAAACGGUCCGGGGUAAUUUCAAGAUUGUACUGAAAAUGGAAAGCUAAUACUUGUGCUAGAUCAUCCCAGGUGUACCAUCGAGCAUAAUCCUGUUGGGUGUACCAUUCCAAUGCUGAUCCACUCAAACUUUGACUGAAGUAUGCCAUCAACAAUUCAUCCUUUGCGCCUGCCCCUCUCAUCUUGGUGCAGAAACCCCUUAAGUGUGCCACCGGGUCACCAUGUCCAUCAUAUAAGUCAAACUUGGGAAUUUUAAAGCCUGGAGGCAAUUGCACAUCUGGAAACGAACAAAGGUCCUUAUAUGCCACACUCACUUGGCCACCUAACCCUUGCAUAUCUCUGAAUGAUUGCUCUAGACUUUUGACUUUCCUGAGCACCUCCUCUUGCUCGGGGUUUUUGACUGGCUUUUUAGCCUCCACAGGGAUUUCAAAACAUGGAGCAUAGGAGUAGGGUUCAUGGGCUUUGUAAGCGGGUACUGGUGAGUAAUACUGGUUGUCGUGAGCUUGGAGAAAAGGCUCACUAGAUGAUCUAUGGGGUGUGGCGGGAGGAGGUAUCAUAUAGAUGGGAGCAACUAGUGGAGGAGGGUGAGGAAUAGCUUUGGGUGGUGGAGCUGGGGGUACCUAGGAGGUUGUACCCUGGUAUUGUGGGUAGAUUGGGAAGCUUGGGGUGGAUCAGUGGUAGGGUGGUCAUGUGUCUGGGCUAAUGGUAGGACGAAGGUAGGGUUAGAAGGAUAAGUUGGAGGUGGAUAACCCACGCCUGAUACAUUUCCACCAUCUAAUGUUUCAGUUUGUACAUCUCCUCUUUUAUUGCAUUAACAUCCAACUCUCCACCUUCUUUGAGGGAUCAAUGGUACUUGCGUUAGUUUCUUGAUUGGCCAUAGUUAGCUUGCUUACCGGGUGUUAUAAGAGUGGGUUACCAGAAUGCUGCAAAAACUAACCACCUAUCUGGACUGGCAAAGACAACAUCAUAACUUGUUAAGGGUUAGGUUUUAACACAUAGGUAGCCACACAUUGGGGGAUGAAUGCACCUAAGCAGUUAUCCGUUUCUAUUAUACACAUGAAUUGGUCGCAUCACGCUAUCCCGGCUUUAUUUCUAUGCCACUUUUCUUUUCUCUCUUGGUUUCCUUUUCUUCUUCCCUUCUCUCUACUCAAUGUGUUUUGCCUAUCCCUUUUAUUUCCCUAAUCUCUUAUUCAUUUUACCACUGUUUCUCUCAUUUUUCUCUUCCCUUUUUUUCUUUCUUCUUUUUUAUUUUGAUUAUGGUCGAAUCUUAUGGAGAUUGCCUACAUAUCAUGACCCUGCAUGAAUCAGACCGGGCAUAGUUCUGGAAAAUAAAUACAGAAAAUAUUUUGGAAAUUUUCAAUUUUCAUAAAGAAAAGCACUUGAUUAGAAAUACGAAAAAGAAAUCAACAGGCUCCGACUCAACUGGAAACAAUAGAUUCUGACUUAAAUAAAAAUAACUUACUCGACAACCUACUAUAAAAUAAAAGAAAAUACAGACUCUCAAAUGGACCAACAAAUUUGAAAAUCAUGAAUACAUUAAGGCGUCUAAUGCUCCUGGGGCCUACGGGACAUCAUUCGGUCUUGCCCCAGGCCUAUGUGCUAAAUCCUCUUGGAGGUAGUGGCAGUCUUCCAUCACUUGACGAACAAAGGUCAUGGCAGUGGCAAAGAACAUAGAUCUUGUCAUAUCUUCAAAGUGGCUACACUUUACAGUGAUGUAAUUAGUGAUCAUCUGUAUCCUCUCUCUUAUAGCACAUUUUUCUUGCAACAAUCGCCUGAUUUGCUAAGCCAUUGCCUCCAAAGUUUGUUCAGCUAUACGAUUCAGUUCUCAGAAUUGUUGCAAAUCACUUUCUAAUCGUGCUAUUGUUGUGUAACAAUGCUCUCUCUCAGCCUUGAAGUCCCUCGCUUUCUUGGCCAUUUUGUUUUCAACCAUGAUGACCCUGUUCUUCAACCCAUCAACCUUGUUUUCAUACCUUUCUUUCAAUUGUUCAAUCAUGCGUGCUCAUUCCUCUGCAUUUUUGGCAAAAAGUUUCGGGCCUUGGAAAGCUCACCCUAUGCUUUGUUCAAGUCAAAACCAUAUUCUCCUACUUUUUGUAUCAAAUUGCCUAUGAGCUUUUCAUCCUUCGCACUUCUUGCGGGAUUCUCUGCAGCUAGUAUCAUUUUCUGAAUUUGGCUCGCAAGGUUUCAUUUUCUUUAGCUAGUCUUUUCUUUUCCACCUCGUAUGCUGAAGCUUGCAAACCAUUCUCGAAUUGAAGGUCUUUGACUUGCUUUUCAAAUUUCCUAUUGUGGCCUUGUAUUCAUUUUCCUUGGUUAACCAAUUACAUAUUUCUUGUGACGCCUCAGCAAAUUCUUGAAAAUGUGGCCUCUUAGCCGGCCUUCCAAACUCUAUUUCCUUUUUAUACAAGCAUGGUACAUUGGUGCAACCUCGCCUUUGGAUAAGUCUCUUACUCGAGCGUCCGACGUCAAGCACUAACAUUCGCUCCAAAUUUGACGGACUGAUGCUUCAGGAAACUAACCAUUGGAACCAAUCUCGACCAUAUGACGACUAAUGUCUUCAUCCCUGGGAAUCAUCUGGCACCUCCCUAACUGUCUUAGCACUCUGUAUGGAGUAUAAGGUUGGAUACUCCGGAGACCCAUUAGAAGGAAAUGAUGCCCGGUAACUGGCAUAUAUAUAAUUUCUCAAUAGGGAGCCACCCGAACGUCCACUCUAUUUGACAUGCACUUAUGACAUGGAGAUAUGAGACCCAUGCUAUGACCCCCUCUGGUAAGCUAACCACAUCAACCUUGGUAUGGAAUUCCUCUAUGCAGCUUUGUCGAUGGCACAAGUGUUCAAUCAUCCAUAUUUUUAACAAAAAGUUGCAUCCUUCAAAGAAAUCUUCUCCGGCCUUACAGACUGUGAAGGCCCAGAAAAUUUCAGAUAAUAUCAUGGGUGCGAGGGUGUUCUUGGCCUAAGUGAGCAAAGUGCUUACAAUUCCUGCUAUCUGUAUAUCAUUAUUCCCAUCUUUUUGGGGAAAUACCAGAAGACCCAAGAAGAAUACCAUGAAUGCGAAACACCUAUGUUCUUCCUAUUUGAGUUGGUUUCCCUUGCUACAAAUAUUAUUUCUCAUUUCAUUAAACCCCCUAUGUCCCUAUACCUCUGUUAUAUAAAAUGUGGAGUGCAAAAACUGGCUGAUAGAUCUGGAUUGUAAACCUUCCUACAGAUCUUUAAUGAAUCCAAGAAUUUGUGUACGGCGAUGGCCCUUGGUGCAAUCAAAUACUGAUGUCUCAAAGGAAUUUUAGAACCGCCGAUACAUCUGGCUAUUUCUUCAAGGAUUGGGGUGAGUUCAAAGUACAGGAAAUGGAAUAUGGUGUGUGUCGGGUCCCAAAAUGUUACUACUGCUUUUAUGACAUCCCCUCUUGGGUUAACUUUCAGUAAUCUGGUGAGUCCUCCCAAGUGCGUGUUGACCUUAUUUUGAUUAGAUUCACCCAGAUCGUUCCACCACAUGUGUACCUCUAAAGGGAUCUUGUUCAUGACUGAGAUUGGCAAAUUUUGAUUCGUGCUCAUUCUGCACAUUUAUAAGUCCUCCCAAGUACGUGUUGACCCUGUUUAACCCAAAUUCACAUAGAUCAUUCCACCACAUGUGUACCUCCAAUGGGAUCUUGUUCAUGACUGAGAUUGGCAAAUUUUGAUUUGUGCUAAUUCUGCACAUUUAUUUAGGUGAUUAAGCAAAAAUCAUGAUUUAUUGGACUCAAAACAAAAUUUAAUUUUUUUCCAAAUUUUCAUUUCAAAAAUUUUUCCAAAUUUUCAUUUCAAAAAUAAAAUCCCGGCCUUGUAAAUACGGCUUUUCAACACUUCCGCCGGAAGAUUUUAAGGCUAUGCCUACUACCGGCAAAAAUCCUUGCCUUGCAAAUACGGCCUUUCAGUACUUCCGAGGGAAGAUUUAAGGUUGUGCCUGCUACCGGCCAAAAUUAGGAAAACAAUCCAAGGCGGCUAUUUCUGCAAAAACAAUCUUCCGGGGCCCUUUUAAGGACGCUCGGCUAAUUUUGAUAAAAACAGCUUUAUUUAUACUUUACAAACAAAAUUUGAUUGAGGCUAUUUUUGCAAAAAUGAAGUUGGGCCCGAUGGGUGUUGCCUACGUAUCUCUCGCUCUGUGAGAAUCAAACUGGCAUAGUUCGAGCAAUUUUGAAACAAUUAAAAACAACUUCUAUUUUUUUUCUCUCUCCUUUUAUUCGAAAAAUAAAAAUCCUUUUCUUUUUUCCCUUUUUUUGAAAACAUACUCCCUUUUUUGGUUUUUUUUUCAAAAUUUUGACAGCAUUUCCGUAUCGAUUUUUGACACGGGUAAAUUCCUUUCUCACCCCUCAAAUUAUCAAAUUUUCCUCUCUCUUAUUUUUUUUUCUUCUUCUUCUUCUCUUUUUUUUCUUUUUGUCAAAAAUCGGUCGGCAUGCAAAUUCAGAACGAAUGCACAAGUAGCACGCAAAAUUCAUCAAGAUAGUCUAUUAUUUUGGAUGCACAUGUCCUAGACGGACCCAACCCAUGAGUUGAGUCCCCUAAGUCAAAUGCAUGAUGCAACUAAGCGAUCCUACUAGGGUUCCGGUCAUGAGGUUAAGUUAUUCUAAGUUCAAAACCUUGGUAUAGGGUCUAGGCUGUGUACCCGAGCAGACAACUCGAGUCGAGGAGGGGGCUACGUACCGAAAACCAAAAGGUCAUCCGGCUUUGUAACUUUUCUGAGCCUCUUUCUUAUUCCAAGGUAUGACACUAACAGAAUAAGGAGUCUCGACCAGCGAGCACAUCCCCGAAGAGAGAAGAGAUGAUUUUCGUAGCAGUAUAUAUGUAUAGUUCAGAUAAUAUCAAAGCAGUAAAAAAAAAAGCAACAUUUAGCAUAUCAGGCCGUGAGAAGAUAAGGGUUUAGCGACAGUUUAUAUAUAGUUCAAAUAAUAUUAAAGCGGUAAAAGCAUCAUUUAGCACAUUAGGCCCAAACAUGUAACAAAAUCAGAUAAUAGAUAAAACCAAAUAUAACAAUUAUUCUAAGCUCGAAUCCUUGAACUCUAAACCAGAGAUUCUGGGUUUGAUCCCCAGCAGAGUCGCCAGAGCUACCACACCUCUUUUUUUACUACUACACCCUGCGAAGAGCGUAGAUAAAGGAGUUUCUUCAAUUAAAGGACAAUCGAAACGGGAUUUAUUUAUUUAAGAGAUUUCAGAGUCACCACUUGGGAUAAUUAAUGGUGUCCCAAGUCACCGGUUUAAAUCCCGAAUCGAGAAAGGGAUUACUCUAUUUAACAGUCUGCGAACUAGAAAUCUAGGUAUGGAAUUCUGUUAACUGGGGAGAAGGUGUUAGACAUUCCCGAAUUCCGUGGUUCUGGAACGGUCAUUCAACUGCUAUAUUCAGCCUAAUUAUCUGAUUUUAACACAUUUUAAUGCCUAUGUGCAUAUUUUAACCUUUAAACGCUUUUAUUUAAUUUUAAGAAGAUUGCAACGUUAUCAAAACACGUCUCAACCACGUCACAUAAAUGCACUCGUGGUUUUUGACAUAUUUUAACACCAUUGAGAUUUGGAUUUGAGUCACAUAAAUGCACACCCGUAUUUAGGAAAGUGCAUUAUUUGACUAAUGCGCCUAAGGUAAUUGCGUGUUUUUAAAUUCGCGAGGUGCACAGAAAGUUCGCUAAGUGGCAUACCUCAAAUUUUAGGGAUAAGAAAAAAUUAAUAAAGCAAGGGUCAUGCAAUCAUCAUUUUGCUUGGCAUAGCGCACCUCAAUUUAUUUUAUUUAAAAGGUCUCUACACUAAUUCAUAAGGGCCAUACACUAUGAGUUAUCUAAUUACAUCGCGCCUCGAAUUUACUUCUAAAAGCCUAAUAAAUUGAUUAAAGACGGUUUCAAAGAAGUAGUAAGUACUCUAAACCAAAGUCCAAACCCAAUUUAUUUAAAAGAAAAGGCCAACAAUAAUGAGGCUCAACUUGCAUUAUUAUGAAGCCUGGCUUGACGCGAGGUCCCUAUAACCUGAACGAGGUUGCAAGAUUUCAACAUUGCUGAUUUUAAAACGACUGAAACUACACCAUAAAGCGAGGCCCGAUUCUGAAAAUGGCCCAAUGUGGUAUAACUAUAACUCAAGGUAGAUUCCCUUUUAGAACACAAAACCCACGUUGGGAUUCGAGAAUACAAACUGAUCCAUAUCAGUUUUCAACCAUUUAAGCAAUAAUAUAGAAGAUGAAAAAUAACUAAACCACAGCGCCCUUUUGACAAAAACAUUUCCCAAAUUCGAUUAUUCUGGUGAUAACCACAAAGCAAGGCCCGAUUCUGAAAAUGGCCCAAUGUGGUAUAACUAUGACUCAAGGUCGAAUCCCUUUGAGAACACAAAACCCACGUUGGGAUUCAAGAAUGUAAACUGAUCCAUAUCAUAUUUCAACCUUUUAAGCAAUAACAUAGAAGAUGAAAAAUCACUAAAACACAACGCCCUUUUGACAAAAACAUUUCCCAAAUUCAAUUAUUCUAGUGAUAUCAAUUGCACAAUAGGACACCUCAAAAAAAACUCACACCAAGUUACUUCUAAAACCUGAGAGCUUGAGCCUCAAUCACGACUCAUGAAUCCUAUAGAGAAGCUAACAUUAUGCAACAUAAUUUUAAAUACCUAAUUUUAACUGAUAGUAAUUUAACUGGAAUACAAGGUGAGAAGAAUUCACAGUCAGUACAUAUGAUACCAUUUAGCAUGGUCGAAUGUACAAAGUUAGCUAUUAAUUCGACUAACAAGCCAUUUAAACUUCUAAUCAGCUAUGAAAUAACCAGUUGGAAGUUGAGUCCCCCUUAAAUACAAAAAUUCAAUUAUCAACAGAGUAUUUAUCAACAAAAUACAAUAUGCUAUAGAUCUCAUAACAAAUCAGUAAAACAAUGUAAACCUAAACUGCAGAUCGAAACAAGCUAUAACUAUGCUCAAGCUUCAAAUUCUUAUUUCAACUUCAAGUCAGGCCUUACAUUGUGUAGAAGUCAAGAGAGGUGUACUUGAAAAGUGAAAAUAAUAGAAAAUGUAGGGAUCAGCAGCGAGCAACGACAGCUUGUCCAAAUUUAUACCAACCAGCAUUUAAAUAACGAAAUUCAACCAAAGCACUUGAUAAAACAAUGCCCCAAUUAAUGAUACCAAAUCAGUUCUACCCAUACCCUAGGUCAAAUCAUUUUCCCAGCUCAACUAAACUCAGGAAUUAAAAGAAAUGGAAUUCAAACAAGACUCAAUAACUUGACUGAAAUCAUGAAGACUAACUUUGAACUCAUGACCUUCAAAACAAUCAGACUAAAACGACUAAUGCAAUUUAAUAAGAUCGAAAUAAACCUAAU